rnacentral:rRNA from 2 species
CUUGACUAUGCCGUCGACCGGUCUAGAGAUAGAUCUUUAUCCUUCGGGGUACAGCGGACACAGGUGGUGCAUGGUUGUCGUUCAGCUCGUGUCGUGAGAUGUUGGGUUAAGUCCCGCAACGAGCGCAACCCUUGUCUUUAGUUGCCAUCAUUAAGUUGGGCACUCUAAAGAGACUGCCGAUGACAAAUCGGAGGAAGGUGGGGAUGACGUCAAAUCAUCAUGCCCUUUAUGUCCUGGGCUACACACGUGCUACAAUGGUCGGUACAACGAGAAGCAAGCCAGCGAUGGCAAGCAAAUCUCUAAAAGCCAAUCCCAGUUCGGAUUGCAGGCUGCAACUCGCCUGCAUGAAGUCGGAGUUGCUAGUAAUCGCGGAUCAGAAUGCCGCGGUGAAUGCGUUCCCGGGUCUU